UGAGAACCUCUGCUCCAGUUAGAAUGUUCACAUGAAAGUUCAUCAGGUGUUGAUGGGAGUCUUCCAGGGUCCAUUGUUAGUUAAGUGUUCCUUGAUGGGCC